rnacentral:rRNA from 1 species
AGAGUUUGAUCCUGGCUCAGAACGAACGCUGGCGGCGUGGAUAAGACAUGCAAGUCGAACGAGAGAAUUGCUAGCUUGCUAAUAAUUCUCUAGUGGCGCACGGGUGAGUAACACGUGAGUAACCUGCCCCCGAGAGCGGGAUAGCCCUGGGAAACUGGGAUUAAUACCGCAUAGUAUCGAAAGAUUAAAGCAGCAAUGCGCUUGGGGAUGGGCUCGCGGCCUAUUAGUUAGUUGGUGAGGUAACGGCUCACCAAGGCGAUGACGGGUAGCCGGUCUGAGAGGAUGUCCGGCCACACUGGAACUGAGACACGGUCCAGACACCUACGGGUGGCAGCAGUCGAGAAUCAUUCACAAUGGGGGAAACCCUGAUGGUGCGACGCCGCGUGGGGGAAUGAAGGUCUUCGGAUUGUAAACCCCUGUCAUGUGGGAGCAAAUUAAAAAGAUAGUACCACAAGAGGAAGAGACGGCUAACUCUGUGCCAGCAGCCGCGGUAAUACAGAGGUCUCAAGCGUUGUUCGGAAUCACUGGGCGUAAAGCGUGCGUAGGCUGUUUCGUAAGUCGUGUGUGAAAGGCGCGGGCUCAACCCGCGGACGGCACAUGAUACUGCGAGACUAGAGUAAUGGAGGGGGAACCGGAAUUCUCGGUGUAGCAGUGAAAUGCGUAGAUAUCGAGAGGAACACUCGUGGCGAAGGCGGGUUCCUGGACAUUAACUGACGCUGAGGCACGAAGGCCAGGGGAGCGAAAGGGAUUAGAUACCCCUGUGGUCCUGGCAGUAAACGGUGCACGCUUGGUGUGCGGGGAAUCGACCCCCUGCGUGCCGGAGCUAACGCGUUAAGCGUGCCGCCUGGGGAGUACGGUCGCAAGAUUAAAACUCAAAGAAAUUGACGGGGACCCGCACAAGCGGUGGAGUAUGUGGCUUAAUUCGAUGCAACGCGAAGAACCUUACCUGGGCUUGACAUGUAAUGAACAACAUGUGAAAGCAUGCGACUCUUCGGAGGCGUUACACAGGUGCUGCAUGGCCGUCGUCAGCUCGUGUCGUGAGAUGUUUGGUUAAGUCCAGCAACGAGCGCAACCCCUGUUGCCAGUUACCAGCACGUGAAGGUGGGGACUCUGGCGAGACUGCCCAGAUCAACUGGGAGGAAGGUGGGGACGACGUCAGGUCAGUAUGGCCCUUAUGCCCAGGGCUGCACACGUACUACAAUGCCCAGUACAGAGGGGGCCGAAGCCGCGAGGCGGAGGAAAUCCUGAAAACUGGGCCCAGUUCGGACUGUAGGCUGCAACCCGCCUACACGAAGCCGGAAUCGCUAGUAAUGGCGCAUCAGCUACGGCGCCGUGAAUACGUUCCCGGGUCUUGCACACACCGCCCGUCA